UUGGAGGGCAAGUCUGGUGCCAGCAGCCGCGGUAAUUCCAGCUCCAAUAGCGUAUAUUAAAGUUGUUGCAGUUAAAAAGCUCGUAGUUGAAUUUCGGGAUUAGUACGUUGGUCGUGCCUUAGGUACGUACUGGUGUUACUGGUUUCUACCUUCUGACGAACCAUCAUGUCAUUAAUUUGGUGUGGUGGGGAAUCAGGACUGUUACUUUGAAAAAAUUAGAGUGUUUAAAGCAGGCUCGCGCUUGAAUACAUUAGCAUGGAAUAAUGAAAUAGGACGUUGAUCCUAUUUUGUUGGUUUCUAGGAUUGACGUAAUGAUUAAUAGGGAUAGUUGGGGGCAUUAGUAUUCAAUUGUCAGAGGUGAAAUUCUUGGAUUUAUUGAAGACUAACUACUGCGAAAGCAUUUGCCAAGGAUGUUUUCAUUAAUCAAGAACGAAAGUUAGGGGAUCGAAGACGAUCAGAUACCGUCGUAGUCUUAACCAUAAACUAUGCCGACUAGGGAUCGGAUGAUGUUAUUUUUAAUGACUCAUUCGGCGCCUUACGGGAAAC
rnacentral:rRNA from 1 species